UACGUAGGGGGCUAGCGUUAUCCGGAAUUACUGGGCGUAAAGGGGGCGUAGGCGGACUUUUAAGUGAGAUGUGAAAUACUCGGGCUCAACUUGAGUGCUGCAUUUCAAACUGGAAGUCUAGAGUGCAGGAGAGGAGAAUGGAAUUCCUAGUGUAGCGGUGAAAUGCGUAGAGAUUAGGAAGAACACCAGUGGCGAAGGCGAUUCUCUGGACUGUAACUGACGCUGAGGCUCGAAAGCGUGGGGAGCAAACAGG
rnacentral:rRNA from 1 species